AAGGAUAUUGGCACCCCUCUCUUCCUAUCUAACUCACCGUUUUUCCUCAGCCGCUAGUGCUCUGCUCUCCACCAUCACUUCCACCUGCAACCCUAAUAUUUUCGUAUUAGAGAAGUGGACGGUAGAGAAAGGAGCCAUUAUGGCUAAAUCUUUCUAGUCUUGAGAUUCACUACUGUCAAAGAUUAACCAUGAUUCCGACCCGAGGGAUUGAGGUUCAUUGGUUCACUCAAAAAGUGUUGGCAAUCCAUGAAGAAUUUCAGAACAGGGUUCGAGGAGAGGAUUUCGACAAAAUCUGCCACAAUAUUCCUUCAAUGAUGCCAAAGAAUCUGUAAAGAAGGGAAUUCGCUUGAGGUGAAAACCUUCUGAAGUUUUUUGACCAUGGGCUUAUUUUUUGCUUAUCUCUGUUGCAGAUUGCUGUUAGUUAUCUUGAUAAUUGAUAUUUUAACCUUUCUGGUCAAGUUGUGCAUUUCUUAAUGAUUGAAGGCCUGCUUUUGUUUCUGUUUCCUCUCACUAAUUUGUUCUAUUGUGACUGGAGUGGGUUUGAAUUCAGUUAGUUAAAUCGAGUCCAAGUUGCUUCCUCUCACUAAUUGAAUUGAGGGUUGAUAUCAAAGUGGGUGGCAUAUGAUUCUAGGUAGUCAAUGAAUUGUUUCUUGGUGGCGUAAUCAGGGUAAUAAUCAGGGAAGGGGAACUUAUUAGCUAUCCCGAAUAACAAGACAGAAAUGAAACCAUAUCCAUUUUAUCUUUCA